rnacentral:misc_RNA from 1 species
UGAACCGAAUAAUGCUCACUCCUACUUCUCUUCAUACUAUCUAUCUCAUCCUUUCAUUGUCUCCCUCCCCUUUCUAUUGCUUUCACCCAUAUCCCCCUUUGGUCUCCAAUGCUUUCACCGCCCAUUGUGUAACACCUCAAUUUUCGAAAAAAAUAUUAAAUUUGAUUGUUAUUAGAAUAAAAUAUAAAUUAUAAAGUUUGAGAGAGAAAAAAA